CCCAGGCCCAAGUGUCCUGCUUGGAGCCUCCAUUAUAAUAAAUGAUAAAACAGCUCUAUGAACAGUUGAUUUAAAAGCACAGGAAACUAACUUCCUGGGACAGUCAACUGAAAGUCAGGAAAUUUCUAUGAAAGUGUUUAUUCUUGCCCGUUUGGCGGUGAGUCAAGGUCCUUAGUGCUUAGAUGGUAGGAGACAUUUUCUCCUCUUCACUCUGUUCUGCUUUCCAUCAGAGCACCCGUUUCCUCAGACCUAGUUCCUCAACAGCUGUUACCACAAACUGAGCCAGAAGGGGGCGCACAAGCGCAGAGUCAUUGCGGACGUAGAAAUCCAGCCUGCGGUUCUACCAUUGGCCACAAGGCUCUCCUGCCUCUGCAAGGUACCAACUCAGGAGGGAAUGACAGCGGGGUUUGGUGUCACAGGCUUAGAGACGUGUGCAGAAUUCUAAAAAGCAACAAACUCAGAGCCAGGAAGACUUUUCUGUCAGAGCUUCUGAUCAAGAGUUGAGAAACCGUGGAAUCUCCAGGCUCAACAGUUAUUCCAGAAGGAAUUACCUAUGUGAACAAUGUUGUUUUACUCCACAGCCACAGUGAAAUGGUUGGACUUUCCAGAGAUUUUUGAUUGGUAAGGCUGCUCUGAUGUGGAGAGGUGCUCGGGAUCUGUGAUUGGUCACCAUGGCCCUGUUACGGGAAGAAGACGAUGGGUAGUGUUUCCAAGAUGGCCUCCACUGGCCUUGGUGAGAGGGCUUAGGCUCCUGUUGUGGAACAAGCAGGCAGACAAUUAACACAGUAAAUGUUGGCUCGUGAGAAAUACAUUGGUUCUGGAUCUGGGGUCUAUGGACCCCCAAGAGGUCCAUAGAUGGAAUUCAAGAGGGUCCAUGAACUUGAACGGGAAAAGAAUUAUAUCAUUUUCACAAAUCUCUGACUGAAACUUGGCAUUUCCUUUAAUUAUGAAUGUAGACAACAAACCACAAUAGUAUCAAUAGUACCUUUGACUUUGUCAUCAGCAGAAAUCAGAUAUUUUCACAUCAUGUUAAAGUUGUUGCAGAAAUAUCAAAGUAUUGUUUAUGCUCAUCACUACCUCAAAAUUAUGGAGAUGACUAAGCUCACAAGAUCCUGUUAUUUAAUGCACUAAUAAAGAAGUACGCAUAUUACUAUAUCA
rnacentral:lncRNA from 1 species